AGGGGCAGCGGGAUUGAAGCUUGCUUCAAUUGCCGGCGACCGGCGCACGGGUGAGUAACGCGUAUCCAACCUUCCGUACACUCAGGGAUAGCCUUUCGAAAGAAAGAUUAAUACCUGAUGGUAUGAUGAGAUUGCAUGAUAGCAUCAUUAAAGAUUUAUCGGUGUACGAUGGGGAUGCGUUCCAUUAGGUAGUAGGCGGGGUAACGGCCCACCUAGCCAACGAUGGAUAGGGGUUCUGAGAGGAAGGUCCCCCACAUUGGAACUGAGACACGGUCCAAACUCCUACGGGAGGCAGCAGUGAGGAAUAUUGGUCAAUGGACGAGAGUCUGAACCAGCCAAGUAGCGUGAAGGAUGAAGGUCCUACGGAUUGUAAACUUCUUUUAUAAGGGAAUAAACCCUCCCACGUGUGGGAGCUUGUAUGUACCUUAUGAAUAAGCAUCGGCUAACUCCGUGCCAGCAGCCGCGGUAAUACGGAGGAUGCGAGCGUUAUCCGGAUUUAUUGGGUUUAAAGGGAGCGCAGACGGGUCGUUAAGUCAGUUGUGAAAGUUUGGGGCUCAACCUUAAAAUUGCAGUUGAUACUGGCGUCCUUGAGUGCGGUUGAGGUGUGCGGAAUUCGUGGUGUAGCGGUGAAAUGCUUAGAUAUCACGAAGAACUCCGAUUGCGAAGGCAGCACACUAAUCCGUAACUGACGUUCAUGCUCGAAAGUGUGGGUAUCAAACAGGAUUAGAUACCCUGGUAGUCCACACGGUAAACGAUGGAUACUCGCUGUUGGCGAUAUACUGUCAGCGGCUUAGCGAAAGCGUUAAGUAUCCCACCUGGGGAGUACGCCGGCAACGGUGCAACUCAAAUGAAUUGACGG
rnacentral:rRNA from 1 species